UACUGACCUACAGUAGCUUUCUUCUUCAGCAUUUUUAGCUCACCAUGAUGUCAGUGGCAUAAGGAACAUGUCACACGACAGAUGCAGCCAAUUAGGCUUCAUUAUAUACUUCAUACUGCAUUGCUGCCUUCUUCUAGAAUCGUCCCUUCAAUGCUUUUAUUCCAGAACCAGAGCUUCCCAAUUAGGAAUACCUUGUUGUUGACUAUAAGGGAUUGCUGCAGUAACACAUGUGGCCACAGUAUAGUGCUGUUAUCACAUGCACGUGGUUUAAGUGGGAACCUUGACCUUAACCCCAGCCAUGACUCAUCUUGAACAUUAUUUUGCUGUUAUACAUACUGAGGACCAGUGAUGGGAAUAACGGCGUUGCUUUUUUCAGUAACAGAUAAUCGAAUGAAUUACUUUAUCUAUUGUGAUAAAGUCGUUACAGUCACCAAUACGCUAUUACUUUGCGUUAUUGAAGCUACUUAUUGAAGCUGUCAUCCCACUUGG